rnacentral:rRNA from 1 species
CGCAAGUUGCGCCCGAAGCCUUUCGGCCGAGGGCACGUCUGCCUGGGUGUCACGCAACCGUCGCCCCCUCCCCCUCGCCCUGCCGAGGGCUUGGAGGCGGAUGCUGGCCUCCCGUGGGAACUCCGCCCGUGGUUGGCCGAAAAGAAGGGUCCUCGGCGGCGCUCGCCACGACAAUCGGUGGUUGAAAGACCCUCUGAAGCAGUCGUGGGCGAUCGCCMGCCAAAGGGAUCCCCCGAGACCCCGAUGCGUCGGCCUCAUAUGGCCACGCUCCGACMGCGACCCCAGGUCAGGCGGGACUACCCGCUGAGUUUAAGCAUAUCAAUAAGCGGAGGAAAAGAAACUUACCAGGAUUCCCCUAGUAACGGCGAGCGAACCGGGAAUA